rnacentral:rRNA from 1 species
GACGAACGCUGGCGGCGUGCUUAACACAUGCAAGUCGAACGGAAAGGCCCUGCUUUUGUGGGGUGCUCGAGUGGCGAACGGGUGAGUAACACGUGAGUAACCUGCCCUUGACUUUGGGAUAACUUCAGGAAACUGGGGCUAAUACCGGAUAGGAGCUCUUGCUGCAUGGGGGGGGUUGGAAAGUUUCGGCGGUUGGGGAUGGACUCGCGGCUUAUCAGCUUGUUGGUGGGGUAGUGGCUUACCAAGGCUUUGACGGGUAGCCGGCCUGAGAGGGUGACCGGCCACAUUGGGACUGAGAUACGGCCCAGACUCCUACGGGAGGCAGCAGUGGGGAAUAUUGCACAAUGGGCGGACGCCUGAUGCAGCAACGCCGCGUGCGGGAUGACGGCCUUCGGGUUGUAAACCGCUUUCUCCUGUAACGAGGCGUGAGUGACGGUAAUGGGUAAAGAAGCACCGGCUAACUACGUG